rnacentral:rRNA from 1 species
AGGACGAACGCUGGCGGCGUGCCUAACACAUGCAAGUCGAACGCGCUCCAUUCAGUAGCAAUACUGAUGAAGAGCGAGUGGCGAACGGGUGAGUAGCACGUGAGCAACCUGCCCCGAAGACUGGGACAACACCGGGAAACCGGUGCUAAUACCGGAUAUCCCUAUCGGACCGCAUGAUCUGAUAAGGAAAUGGAUUCCGCUUCGGGAGGGGCUCGCGGCCUAUCAGCUAGUUGGUGAGGUAACGGCCCACCAAGGCAUCGACGGGUAGCUGGUCUGAGAGGACGAUCAGCCACACUGGGACUGAGACACGGCCCAGACUCCUACGGGAGGCAGCAGUGGGGAAUCUUGCGCAAUGGGCGAAAGCCUGACGCAGCAACGCCGCGUGGAGGACGAAGGCUUUCUGAGUUGUAAACUCCUUUCAGCAGGGACGAUAGUGACGGUACCUGCAGAAGAGCACCGGCAACUACGCGCCAGCAGCCGG